UGCAUAAAAAAUUCACUUAUUUUGGGCUUUUGCAAAAUCGGGCCACAUUUUUUUCAUUUUUGCAGAUUCGGUCCGCUUUUUCAGUAAACUGACCAAAAUACCUUUUUUACUUUUUCUCUUUCCUCUUUCUCUCUCCUCUUCGUUUCUCUCGUUCUUUUUUCUUUUCUCGCCGGCAGAGUGGAGGCGGAAACGGUCCGUCUCGCCUCUCACCCUCAUUCUCUCGCCC
rnacentral:lncRNA from 1 species